UGGGGAAUAUUGCACAAUGGGCGCAAGCCUGAUGCAGCGACGCCGCGUGGGGGAUGACGGCCUUCGGGUUGUAAACUCCUUUCGCCAGGGACGAAGCGUUUUGUGACGGUACCUGGAGAAGAAGCACCGGCUAACUACGUGCCAGCAGCCGCGGUAAUACGUAGGGUGCAAGCGUUGUCCGGAAUUACUGGGCGUAAAGAGCUCGUAGGUGGUUUGUCACGCCGUCUGUGAAAUUCCACAGCUUAACUGUGGGCGUGCAGGCGAUACGGGCUGACUUGAGUACUGUAGGGGUAACUGGAAUUCCUGGUGUAGCGGUGAAAUGCGCAGAUAUCAGGAGGAACACCGAUGGCGAAGGCAGGUUACUGGGCAGUUACUGACGCUGAGGAGCGAAAGCAUGGGUAGCAAACAGGAUUAGAUACCCUGGUAGUCCAUGCCGUAAACGGUGGGCGCUAGGUGUAGGGGCCUUUUGGGGUUUCUGUGCCGUAGCUAACGCAUUAAGCGCCCCGCCUGGGGAGUACGGCCGCAAGGCU
rnacentral:rRNA from 1 species